rnacentral:rRNA from 1 species
GAGGGGCAGCACGUUAUGGUGGCGACCGGCAAACGGGUGCGCAACACGUACGCAACAUACCCUCAACCGGGGCAUAGCCCGAAGAAAUUCGGAUUAACACCCCAUAAGAUAACAAGGUGGCAUCACGUAGUUAUUAAAAAUUUAUUGGUUGAGGAUUGGCGUGCGUCCUAUUAGCUAGUUGGUUGGGGUAACGGCCCACCAAGGCGACGAUAGGUAGCUGGUGUGAGAGCACGACCAGCCACACGGGCUCUGAGACACGGGCCCGACUCCUACGGGAGGCAGCAGUGAGGAAUAUUGGUCAAUGGGCGCAAGCCUGAACCAGCCAUGCCGUGUGAAGGAUGAAGGCGUUCUGCGUUGUAAACUUCUUUUAUGGGGGAAGAAACCUGGAUUUUCUUAAUUCAUCCGACGGUACCCCAGGAAUAAGCACCGGCUAACUCCUG